GGAUGUGGCUCAAGGGUAGAGCGCUUGCCUGGCAUGUGUGAGGCACUGGGUUCAAACCUCAGCACCA
rnacentral:tRNA from 1 species